CACUGUCUGCAAUAAAACGCCUUUGUUUAUUUAUUUCAUGUAAUGGUUUUGUAUCACAAAUGUAGUGGUUGUACAUUUUAAAGUUGUGGUUGUAUGUGCAUUAAGCAUUCAUUAUGUUAAUGCAUCUUUGUUUAUUUGCUCAUUAUCUGACAGAAUCACUCUCCAUUCUGAAUUCUGGAGUGAAUUCAGACUAUAAAAGAACGACCAUCAGCUCACAGACACCAUCAUCUACUGAUGAACAUCUUCAAGCCACGGUCUGAUCCAGCAUACAACUGUUGCUCAAUAAACACCUUUCACUGCAGCUUCCCCAGUCGUCUCGCUCCUUACCUGACAACCAACUACAUGGCCGUGGAAAAUGUGACGCUGAAAGUUCUCCUUUGACUUCCUGUGGAAGAAGAAACGCAAACCAACUGAACUGGCCAA